UCCAAAAAACUGGACACCUCAGACGUUUUGCUUGUAAGGCGGAGCAGUAGAACUGGGCCGGCCAGGAAGGGGUUUGGAAGCCGUGUUGAACGGGGAAGCGGGGGAAGCUGAAUAUGGUUUCAACUUAAGUCAGGAUUCGGCUACUUAAUGCAGGACGGUGGUGCUCGUGGCUACGGGAGGCCCUGGGGGACGGCACACAGAGCACACUUGCAUGGACUUCUCUUCCAAAUGGCCGCGUCCACAUCCACAUUCCCCACCGACGCCGGAUGCCGGACGCCGUCUCGCGUGGAGUCCCCCACGCGCAAGCGCGUGCCCAGAUGCUCGGAGGACGCGGCCGCUGCCAUUGUUGUGCUUGUCACUUAAUCCCGAUCGCCCCGGGCGGCGGCGCUCUCUCGAGCGGUGUAAAAAGGCACAGUCGUGCAUUCUUUCCGAGCUUCGGGAGGUGGAGCCCGCCGCCCGCCAGAGCAAAGUUGCUAACCCCAGCCUCUCGCCGCCGCUUGCUCAGCAUCCUCCAGCUUGCUCCAUUCCCCCGAACGCCCUCGGAUCCUGCGGCUGCCCGCCCCGCUCCACCGCCCUCCGUGGAGGAAAGUCUCACUUUUUUUUUGUUUUGUUUUGUUUUGUUUUACGAGACAGGGUUUCUCCUGAUUGUUUUGGGGGCUGUCGGUCCAGCCUGGCCUCGAACUCACAGAGAUCCGCCUGCCUCUGCCUCCCGAGUGCUGGGAUUAAAGGCGUGCGCCACCACCGCCCAGCUGAAAGUCUCACUUUUGAUUUACCAAAUAUUUUCAGUAUGUUUGAAGAUGCGUACGCUGCCCGGAGGCUGUUUUUCUGUACAACCCAGUCCCCAGCCUAUAUUGUUACAAGUUUUUUUUUUUUUUUUUUUUUUUUUGAGGACUGGUUGCUGCUUUGCCUACACUGAUGGGGCUGGAUGCUCUCAGCAAGAAGGCAAAGGCGCCCACUAAUUGAUUCUGUGAGCCUGAGUUUGCAGGACCACAUUGGCUACUUCCACCCCCUACCCUCCGUGAGCACUUGGAACAUGAAGACAAGUAGAACAGGCUGCGAGCCCUGAAGGAUAGGCAGAAUCUCUUCCAGAAAGAGCGGCUCUAAUUAGAGGAAAUUGUAAAAACUGUGCAUUUUUCUGGCUCCCUCGACUGGCUGAUCAGCAGACUGGAAAGACUGGAAGUGUCCUCUGGUCCUCCACUGUGUGUUAGUGGAAAUCCCAGAAGCUCUGAAUAUCAUCAAGGAAGGGCAUAUCAAAUCCAUCAUCUCACUUUUAGACAAGCAUGGAAGAAAUCACAAGGUCCUGGAUGUGUUGUGUUCUCUCUGUGCUUGCCAUGGGGUUGCUCUCCGUUCUAACCAGCAUCUCAUCUGUGACAAUCUCGUGCCAGGACGAGAUCUCUUACUGCAGACCCGUCUUGUGAAUCAUGUCAGCAGGUAGUUUGAUAUCUGGCUGGCUGUGUGCUGCAGAGCUGUCAGAUGCUGGUGUCUAAGGGUUACCCAGACAUUGGGUGGAAUCCAGUUGAAGGAGAGAGAUACCUCGACUUUCUCAGAUUUGCUGUCUUCUGUAACGGAGAGAGAGUGUAGAAGAGAAUGCAAUGUUGUGGUGAGGUUGCUCAUCCUGAGGCCCGAGUGCUUUGGUCCUGCCUUGAGAGGGGAAGGUGGCAAUGGUCUCCUUGCAGCUAUGGAAGAAGCCAUAAAAAAAAGCUGAGGAUCCUUCUAGAGAUGGCCCUUCCCCAGCAAGUGGAUCCAGCAAAACCCUGUAGGUCUACUGUGCACACCUCAGAAAAUGAUGUCACCUCACCAAGGCUGACAACAUGCAUUGAAGGUAAUCCUUUGCCCAUGCCGCCAUAUUGCAGAUGAGUAAUGGGGACAGCUCUCCCAUGCUCACAGUUACAGGACUGAGUUGCCAACAGAAUUGCCUUCAGUGCUGCUCAGGUGAGGUACAGGACCUGCCCUCUAGAGUGUUUCAGCUGGUGGGGAGGGCAGUUGCUGCUCUCCCACCCUUAUGACUACAGGGCCAGCUAUCCUUGCUGUCAGAUAAGAAAAGGGGGCAGUUCUCACCCACACCUCUGCCAACAGGAUCAGCUCUAUUAUGCUGACCAGGAGAGGGGCACAGUCUUGGGUCCUGAGUAUUGCAGCUGGUGGGAGACAGGGACUGCUCCUCUCCUGUCCUUAUGCCCUUAUGACGUCAAGGCCAGCUCUCCCACCCUCCUCAAUCAUUGAUGGGUGGGGGUAAGGGGUGAGUUCUCUCUUCUGCCUCACUUUUUUUGGUGCUUGAAUAUCACUGUAAACUCUGCUAAAAUCAUGGACAAUAUCAAUGUCAUAGCCUUAAGAGUAAUGAUGUCUAGAAUAUUUCCACCACUAAAUAAACUAACCCUCUAUUUUUAAUCCCACAUCAGUGACUAUUUCAUGGCAUGGAUCCAUAUUCCUUGGCAGAAUGUUUGUCUAUGCCUUAGUCAGACUUCCCAGAUGAGUAUUUUGUAACAGCUGAAACCUCAGGAUCAGAGCCCUUGAUGUCUGCAUUUUUAUGAGCAGUCUGGUCUCAUCGACUCACAUAAGAAUGACUCAUUUGGCUGAUCUUAUUCUGGGCCUUCUGUAAACCAUAGCUCCAGAACCUUUCAUAUGCCCUUGAAUAUGUUCCAGAAGUUUAAGAAGCACAUGGCCAGUUUCAUCAUAGCAGUGAUGAUGUGACACCCACUUCCCGUGUCAAUCACAUUUCCUCACAUCAGAGAUGCUGUCUGACAGGUCAACUUGAUAGAGAAAAGAGCAUUUCUAGUCUACCAUGACAGGAAAGGCCCGAUGACAGUACUCUGUCUUAGGAGCAGGGCCAUGGGUAGCGCCUAGCUAUUGCUUCUUGUAGCUGCAUGCGGCAUGGGGCACUGUAUGAACACUCAAAGCUGUUAGGAGAUGGAGACCAUCUACAGGGUUCCAUGAUGAAAGCAUCUUGCUGAAUAGGUUGAGUGUAUUCCAGUUUGACCCUUACAUGAGAGAAUUUGUAUCAUUGAUAGCAAUUGAACCCUUUUUAAACCAGAGUGUCUAUUCUGCUCUUAGUUUAGCUAAAAUGCAUGCUUUCCUUUGGUUGUUGAAGCCCAGGGGAGGUGUGCACUUGUUGUUGGUUUGAAUCUUUAAGGUUGAUGCACAGCACCAAAUAAUAAAGACAGUUCAGUACUGUCUUUAUUUAAACAAAUUCAAAAUGCAAUUGCCAUAGUUUGUGGGUAACAUAAGAGCUCAUUAAAACCUUCCCAGCCCACUGACUAGGGGAAACGAGUCAACAAAUAAAUUAACAAAGUUGGUGGCUUUGACUCUGGUGGAGAGAGAUUUACAGUCUCAUUAAUUUUCAUCAUCAAAAUAACAAAAGCAAUUUGGUUUAACUAGAGAGACUGCUUGUCAAAAUUGUCAAACAAUGAGGUGUGCCCACAAUAUUUAUCUGUAACAAAUUUAAGAGUGAAUACUAGAGGCCUGCUUCCUAAUUAUUUAUGGCAAUAAAUGUAUACAUUCAUGCUACAGAAUUUAGCAAGUUAUAAUAUGUACACAUGGAAGUUGAUAGGUAUUCAGGUUUUUUUUGAUAGCCACCACACAAACUGAAAAAGUUAUCAAGCAUACGAUAAGUCACUGUUUAAGAUGUUUUGUUUGCAUGGGAGUUCCAAAGGUGAUAAAGAACAGACAAUAGGUCUGGAGAUUCUAUUAAGACAUUCAGCUAUUUUGUACUCAAUAGAAAAUUAAUCAACAGGUAUUCCUUACAAUCCUCAAGGAAUUGUAGAGCAUGCUCAUAGCUCCUUAAAAAUGUAACUUCUAAAAACUAAAAAGGGGGAGUAAUAGUAAUGUCACUGAUCUCCACCUGGUAAGUUUUUAAAUGUUAUUCCAUGUUGCCUACAAAUUGGACAGGGUUAUGUGUGUUAGCUACCCUUCUCCCAGAUGUGGAGCUUAUUCCAGGAAGUGAGCCCAUAGAUUAUCCUAUUCCUAGACAUAAGAGAGCCAUCUAAUUCAUCCCCCUGUUAGUGGAACUUGGAGUAUCGGGCCUUAGCCACUGGCUCUGCAGGCGUGGGAGUAGCUAUUCAGACAUACUCCACAAUGAACCUUAGUCACAUGCUGCCUACAAAAAUGACUAUAAAAUCACCUUUGUCUCCAUAUGAUGCAUUAAAUCAUGUACUCUUCAUUUUAAAUUUUUAAAAUGUGGAUGCCAGCAAAACAAUCUGCUACAGACAGAUUCUGGCAUGAUGGAACUCUAGUGACUUUGCUCUGGUCAGAUAAAACAUCCAUACACUAGACAGUGGAAAAGACCCAAUUUGGGGUGGAGGGAAUGUUUGUGUUUUCUUACAGGAGAAGAAAAAAAGCUUUGUGGCUGCCAAAAACUUGGUGUGAUGCAUGGAGCAAAGAAAAAACCAGACCUGAAACCAUGGGAAGCUGUCCAAACCAGUUCCAGUGAAACAUGCUGAACCAGUGUUCCUGACUGUACAGCUCCCUUCCCUGCCCAGUUUCCAAAUUCCCUCAACCCAUCCUCACCUCUGCAACCUCACUCUCUUCCUGGAUACUAACUCCUCCGCUUAUCUGAUCCCUGAGAACGGUGGGCCUGUCAGGAUGGCCUUAUCACCUCCAUCUACUCACACCUCCUAAAUUCUGCCCCUAUGUUUUACAUUUUAGUUAAAUUAGUUCCCCACCUUAACUAUUAUUCUAAACAAGAUGUGCUUUUGGGGCUGGGAGCCACAGGAGCAGGCACUAGGAUUUCAUUCCUUGUGCUCUCUAACAAGGAGGAAUCUGUGCAGCCCUUAAAGAAGAAUGCUGUUUCUAUGUUAACAAAACAGGGAGAGUCAAAGAUAGUAUAAAGAAAAACAGAGAGGGUCUAGAGAAAAGAAAGAGAGAGGGAGCAACAGGAGAGUUGGUAUAAUAAUUGGUUUUUUACUUCUCCCUGGCUAUCUACCUUAUUACCCAACAUUUUGGCCCCCCCCCUUUAGGCUUUAUAUUGCUUAUUUCUUUUAGCCCAUGGGUCCUUAGGCAUCUGACAGACUUUAUUAAACAACAAAUAGAUAAUCAUGUCUCAAGGCCUAUCCAGAUCUACUAUCAGAGGCUGGCCACGAAGGAGAGUGGUCCUUAUCAGAAAGCUGAUGAAAGUAAUGGCAAGGAGGAAGGCAAACUUCGCCUAAUGUUCCCAGUCUCCACAUAACAGGAGACAAACUCCCCUGGGGCAUGUAAUCUGCUUGUGCCCCCCUCCCUGCAGCCCCAGCCAGGGGCCUUGGAAGGCCCCUUUACCCACAAAAUAACCACCACUAUUGAUGGCUGACCAUGGACGGGCUCCCUUCUGAUGCUUCCCCCACCCCCAAGACAGGAGCUUUGAAGGCUGGCAAAGUAAUCCGAUGACAGAAGCAACUGAUUCAAACAUUGGCACGCAGUUUGGAGGAUUCGAACAAAAGAAUUAUUGAACUAGAAGAAGAAACAACCAGGCACACAGCAGCUGCCGUGGUACUCCUCUGUGGUAGAUAAGGCAGCAUGCAAGCCCAUACUCCCACAGCCAAGAGAGACUGAACCUCUACUUCUCUCCUAGAACACAACAGAAUCUGAUGAAAUUUGUUUCUAAAAAUAGCCUCAGAGGCAAUCCAGCUGUUAAAGAACUCCUUUCUUCCCUUGGAACCAAUGUGUGGAAAAACCACAGCGGCCCCAGGAAAGGCAAUGUAUGUCAUCCGAGAACGUGUAUAUACUGAAUGCUUGAAUGCCAUUGCCCUUGAGCGCUGAGUGUGGCCCAGCAGCUUCCUGCCUCAGUUCUGGGGCAUGAGAAGCAAGCACUCCAGCUGACUGUUUUCCCAGGCAUCUCUCAUGACCAGGGGGCAGGGGCAGCCAGGCUGCCCGUUUCCCAGAUGCCAGACCUUCUAGAUCAGCAGUUCUCAACCUGGGGGUCAAAUACCAGAUAUCCUGCUUAUCAGAUUCUUACACCACGAUUCAUCAUGAUAGGAAAAUCACAGUUAUGAAGUAAUAAAGAAAUAAUUUUAUUGUUAGGGGUCGCCAUAACAUGAGGAACUGUAUUAAAGAAUUGCAGCAUUAGGAAGGUUGAGAACCACUGCCUCUACCGCCCAAAAUCCACUCUCAACCUCCUUAACCAACAGAGCAUUAUGCUUUUUCCUCUUCAUACA